GAACUUUUUGGUAUGUGAAACAUACUGUUUAUGUGUGUGAUAACUUUUUAAUUCACAAAGUGUUCUAAAAAAUGUAUCAGUAGCUACCAGCUUCAUAUCUAAUUGAUAUAACACUCUAUUGAGAUACAUUUAUAUUUCAGUGAAUACUAUCAGAUGAGGCUAAAAAAAUAACAUGUUUUGAAAUGUGGGACUUAGGUAGUAGAUUAGGAUUGCAGUUGAUUUUUCUAUGUAAUAGUUGUAGUGUUACAGCAUUAGGUUACCUUCUGACCAGGAAUGAUAAUUGAUAGCUCUGCUGUUGCUAAUUCAGUCUGUCGGCUUUUUAUCUUUUUAAUUAUUUAUUAUGUGGCCAUGCCAGGUC
rnacentral:lncRNA from 1 species